rnacentral:rRNA from 1 species
CAUGGUCUAGCUAGCUUAACAAGCAAAUGAAUUUUAGUUUGAACCCCCGAAACUAAGCGAGCUACUUCGAAAUGUUUUAUGAACAAACCCGUCUCUGUCGCAGUAGAGUGGGACAAUUUCCAAGUAGCGGCGACAAACCUACCGCGCUUAAAGAUAGCUGGUUACUCAAGAACAGAAUAUAAGUUCAACCUUAAGCUUCCCAAUUACAUAAGAAGACCAAAAAACUUAAGAGCUAUUCAAAUAAGGCACAGCUUAUUUGAAGCAGGCUACAACCUCUAGGACCGGGUAAAACAUAAGAACAAAUAACAAGUGGGCCUAAAAGCAGCCACCUUCCAAAAAGCGUUAAAGCUUAAUUUUCUUCUAUUUUAAUACCUCUAUGCACCUUCAACCCACCCCCAGUAUUGAGUAACUCCAUACCCCUAUGGAAAAUAUUAUGCUAGAACUAGUAACAAGAAAACCUUCUCCAAAAUGUAAGCCUAAGCCACAAUAGACAACCCUACUGGCAGUUAACGUAAAUGAUUAUCUUAUAGCACCUUAAACAAGAACACCCUAUAAACUUUAACGUUAACCUUACACUAGCACAUUAACGGAAAGAUUAAAAGAAAAAGAAGGAACUCGGCAAAACUUUACCCCGCCUGUUUUA